UUGCAAUGAUGUGAAGAAUAUUUGCUAUCUGAUGGAAAAACUGAUUACUAUACCUUUGACUACCAUCAAGAUCUCUGAGCUU